AUACGUAGGGGGCGAGCGUUGUCCGGAAUGAUUGGGCGUAAAGGGCGCGUAGGCGGCCCGGUAAGUCUGGAGUGAAAGUCCUGUUUUUAAGAUGGGAAUUGCUUUGGAUACUGUCGGGCUUGAGUGCAGGAGAGGUAAGUGGAAUUCCCAGUGUAGCGGUGAAAUGCGUAGAGAUUGGGAGGAACACCAGUGGCGAAGGCGACUUACUGGACUGUAACUGGCGCUGAGGCGCGAAAGUGUGGGGAGCAAACAGGAUUAGAUACCCUGGUAGUCCACACUGUAAACGAUGAAUGCUAGGUGUAGGGGGUAUCGACCCCUUCUGUGCCGCAGUCAACACAAUAAGCAUUCCGCCUGGGGAGUACGGCCGCAAGGUUGAAACUCAAAGGAAUUGGCGGGG
rnacentral:rRNA from 1 species